UUUGCAUUUUGAUCACUUAAGACCUCAAGGAGACUCGAAAGGAGAGCACUCCUAGGCCCCUUCAUCUCUCCCUCCUUCAUCUGCAUUAGCAAAUCUGCAUAUAAAUGGCAAAGCCACCCUGGCAAGGGCUUUCUCCAACAACAUCCUCAGAAUCUCCUUCCUGAUCACUGCAGCUGCACUGAUAGCAAUUUGCACUUGCCUGUUACCAAAUUAGACCCAGCAAUUGAGCUGAGAGCUGGCAGCAGGGCGGGUCCCACUCAGG
rnacentral:lncRNA from 1 species